GGGCGGAUAGCUCAGCUGGCCGAGAGCGCCUGGUUUACACCCAGGAGGUCAGAGGUUCGAAUCCUCUUUCGCCCA
rnacentral:tRNA from 1 species